rnacentral:rRNA from 1 species
UACGGAGGGGGCUAGCGUUGUUCGGAAUUACUGGGCGUAAAGCGCACGUAGGCGGAUCGAUCAGUCAGGGGUGAAAUCCCAGAGCUCAACUCUGGAACUGCCUUUGAUACUGUCGAUCUGGAGUAUGGAAGAGGUGAGUGGAAUUCCGAGUGUAGAGGUGAAAUUCGUAGAUAUUCGGAAGAACACCAGUGGCGAAGGCGGCUCACUGGUCCAUUACUGACGCUGAGGUGCGAAAGCGUGGGGAGCAAACAGG